rnacentral:rRNA from 1 species
UACGGGGGGGGCAAGCGUUGUUCGGAUUUACUGGGCGUAAAGGGCGCGUAGGCGGCCACCGCAAGUCGACUGUGAAAUCUCCGGGCUUAACCCGGAAAGGUCAGCCGAUACUGCGGGGCUAGAGUGCAGAAGGGGCAACUGGAAUUCUCGGUGUAGCGGUGAAAUGCGCAGAUAUCAGGAGGAACACCCGUGGCGAAAGCGGCUCUCUGGGACGGUACUGACGCUGAGACGCGAAAGCGUGGGGAGCAAACAGG